CCGUACGGGAGGCAGCAGUGGGGAAUUUUGGACAAUGGGCGCAAGCCUGAUCCAGCAAUGCCGCGUGAGUGAAGAAGGCCUUCGGGUUGUAAAGCUCUUUUGUCAGGGAAGAAACGGUGAGGGCUAAUAUCUCUUGCUAAUGACGGUACCUGAAGAAUAAGCACCGGCUAACUACGUGCCAGCAGCCGCGGUAAUACGUAGGGUGCAAGCGUUAAUCGGAAUUACUGGGCGUAAAGCGUGCGCAGGCGGUUUUGUAAGUUUGUCGUGAAAGCCCCGGGCUCAACCUGGGAAUUGCGAUGAAGACUGCAAGGCUUGAAUCUGGCAGAGGGGGGUAGAAUUCCACGUGUAGCAGUGAAAUGCGUAGAGAUGUGGAGGAACACCGGAUGGCGAAGGCAGCCCCCUGGGUCAAGAUUGACGCUCAUGCACGAAAGCGUGGGGAGCAAACAGGAUUAGAUACCCUGGUAGUCCACGCCCUUAAACGAUGUCUACUAGUUGUCGGUUUAAUACUUGUACNNGNUACGCGUGAGUAGACGCCGNGGAGGUACGGUCGUCGAGAGUUAAACGUACGAAGAAGUUAGACGGCGUUGAGACGAGCGACGGACGACGACGAGGGAGGAGG
rnacentral:rRNA from 1 species